UACAGAGGUCCCAAGCGUUGUUCGGAUUCAUUGGGCGUAAAGGGUGCGUAGGCGGCGCGGUAAGUCGGGUGUGAAAUCUCGGGGCUUAACUCCGAAACUGCAUUCGAUACUGCCGUGCUUGAGGACUGGAGAGGAGACUGGAAUUUACGGUGUAGCGGUGAAAUGCGUAGAUAUCGUAAGGAAGACCAGUGGCGAAGGCGGGUUUCUGGACAGUUCCUGACGCUGAGGCACGAAGGCCAGGGGAGCAAACGGG
rnacentral:rRNA from 1 species